GAUGAACGCUAGCGGCAGGCUUAAUACAUGCAAGUCGAACGGUAACAGCAGAGUUUACUUUGGCUGACGAGUGGCGCACGGGUGAGUAACGCGUACACAAUCUACCUUUGAGAGGGGCAUAGCCUAUGGAAACGUAGAAUAAUACCCCAUGGAAUCUUAAUACCGCAUGGUAUAGAGAUUAAAGCUUCGGUGCUCAAAGAUGAGUGUGCGUCCUAUUAGCUAGAUGGAGGUGUAACGGACCCCCAUGGCGAUGAUAGGUAGGGGGCGUGAGAGCGUGGACCCCCACACGGGUACUGAGACACGGACCCGACAACUACGGUUGGCAGCAGUAAGGAAUAUUGGACAAUGGGCGCAAGCCUGAUCCAGCCAUGCCGCGUGAAGGAAGACUGUCCUAUGGAUUGUAAACUUCUUUUACAAGGGAAGAAACGCCUGGAUUUAUCCGGGCCUGACGGUACCUUGGGAAUAAGCACCGGCUAACUCCG
rnacentral:rRNA from 1 species